UGGGGAAUUGUUCGCAAUGGGCGCAAGCCUGACGACGCAACGCCGCGUGGAGGAUGAAGAUCUUCGGGUCGUAAACUCCUUUCGAUCGGGAAGAACGUUUUCGGUGUGAACAACACCGAGAUGUGACGGUACCGAGAGAAGAAGCCCCGGCUAACUCUGUGCCAGCAGCCGCGGCAAUACAGGGGGGGCAAGCGUUGUUCGGAAUUACUGGGCGUAAAGGGCCAGUAGGCGGCCAACUAAGUCACACGUGAAACCCCCAGGCUUAACCUGGGAACUGCGUGUGAUACUGGAUGGCUUGAAUUCGGGAGAGGGAUGCAGAAUUCCAGGUGUAGCGGUGAAAUGCGUAGAUAUCUGGAGGAAUACCGGUGGCGAAGGCGGCAUCCUGGACCGACAUUGACGCUGAACGGCGAAAGCUAGGGGAGCAAAC
rnacentral:rRNA from 1 species